CGGCGGACGGGUGAGUAACGCGUGGGUAACCUGCCUCAUACAGGGGGAUAACAGUUAGAAAUGACUGCUAAUACCGCAUAAGACCACAGUACCGCAUGGUACAGGGGUAAAAACUCCGGUGGUAUGAGAUGGACCCGCGUCUGAUUAGGUAGUUGGUGGGGUAACGGCCUACCAAGCCGACGAUCAGUAGCCGACCUGAGAGGGUGACCGGCCACAUUGGGACAGAGACACGGCCCAA
rnacentral:rRNA from 1 species